CAAAACACUGAAGUAGAACGGAGCAGCCAUGGAGAAGCAGAGUGAGUGGCGCCUCCACGGCGGCCACUACCUCGGAGAAAUCUCAGCCCUCUGUUUACUCCACGCGCCACCUCUCCCUCACUUCUCUUCUCUCCCCUAUCUCCUUGCUGGCACAGGAUCGCAAGUUUUACUCUACGAUUUGGAGUCCGUGAAAAUACUGAGGUCCUUUCAUGUGUUAGAAGGAAUUAGAGUGCAUGGAAUUGCUUGCCGCUUGGUUGAUUGUAAAGAAGGAUCGGUAUUGUCGGUUAAGAUUGCUGUUUUCGGGGAAAGGAGAGUAAAGUUGUUUAAUUUACGGAUUGAGAUGGUUCCUGAAUCCCAAGAUGAGCCCCAAGUGUGUUUGGAGUUGACUCUGUUGCAUUCGUUGCCGAAAUUCAGUCACUGGGUUUUAGAUGUUUGCUUCUUCAAGGAGGACAUUGCGACUUCUUCACAUUGUCUUGUGGUGGGAUGUAGCGAUAAUUCGGUCCAUCUCUGGGAUAUGUUAACGUCCAGUUCGAUUCUUGAAGUUAGGAAUCCAGAGAGGUGCCUUCUUUAUUCCAUGCGGUUAUGGGGUGAUGAACUUCAAAACCUCCUUGUUGCAUCUGGUACUAUCUAUAAUGAGAUUAUUGUUUGGAAAGCAGUUCCUCAGAACUGCACUCCAAGUUUGGGAAGUUCAGUGAAAGACCACAUUAAUUCGAGUAGUUCUUUCUGCAACGGCUUCAAUCAUUAUAGUCAGCAAUAUCAAGCUCUUAAUAUAUGUAGACUUGCUGGACAUGAAGGUUCAAUUUUUCGCCUAGCAUGGUCCUCCAAUGGAUCCAAACUGGUGUCUGUCUCUGAUGAUCGGAGUGCUCGUAUCUGGCCAAUUCAUGCAGAAAGGGAAGUUUCUGAUAACUCAGGAGAGAUUGUUGACACAGGCUCUGCUGGUCCUGUGCUAUUUGGUCACAAUGCUAGGAUUUGGGACUGCUGUAUUUUAGAUUCUUUAAUUGUAACUGCUGGCGAGGAUUGUACAUGUCGUGUGUGGGGAACAGAUGGUAACCAGCUUAAGAUGAUCAAAGAGCACAUAGGAAGGGGUGUAUGGCGAUGUUUGUAUGAUCCAAAGUUUUCACUUCUUGUUACUGCUGGGUUUGACUCUGCUAUCAAAGUGCAUCAGCUACAAGCUUCUUUGCCUAAGGCCCCACAGGAACAGGUUGCGGAGGUAAAAGAGUUGAUUGACAGAACGGAGAUAUUCACUGUUUGUAUCCCAAAUUCAUCAGAACAUACUGGACUUAUGGACAGCAAAAGUGAAUAUGUGCGUUCCCUGCGUUUCACAUGUGAAAAUAGUCUCUAUAUUUCCACAAACCGUGGUUAUCUUUACCAUGCUAAAUUAUUUGAUACAGGAGAUGUAAAAUGGACUGAACUUAUCCAUGUCAGUGAAGAGGUGCCAAUUGUUUGUAUGGACUUACUGUCUAGAAAUGGACCCAAGCUUUCCAGUGGUGUUGAGGAUUGGAUUGCUGUUGGAGAUGGUAAAGGAAACAUGACAGUCACUGGAAUUGUUAGUGAUCUUUGCCCUCCUAAAGUAGGCCUCACUUAUACUUGGUCAGCUGGAAUAGAGAGGCAGCUCUUAGGAACAUUUUGGUGCAAGUCCUUGGGAUAUAGGUACAUUUUCACUGCUGAUCCAAGAGGAAAGUUGAAGUUAUGGAGGUUAUGUAAUCCUUCACAAUCAGCUUCUCAAAAUUCUGCAAUCAGUAACAAUGUGUCUCUAAUAGCAGAGUUCAUAUCCAGUUUUAAUAUACGGAUAAUGUGUUUGGAUGCCUCAUCUGAGGAAGAGGUGCUGAUAUGUGGAGAUCUACGUGGUAAUUUGAUUUUAUACCCUUUAUUGAGGAGUAUAUUGGUGGGUUCAUCUUUUGGAUCAGAAGUGAAGAUUACUCCAUUGACUUAUUUCAAAGGAGCUCAUGGGAUAUCAAGCGUGUCUGGCAUUUCGAUAGCAGGAUUUGUUUCCAAUCAAAUUGAAAUACAAUCUACUGGUGGAGAUGGGUGCAUAUGCUAUUUGGAAUAUCGCAGAGAUCAACAGAAUUUGCAGUUUAUAGGGAUGAAACGGGUGAAAGAAUUGAGUUUGGUCCAGUCCGUCUCUUCUGGUGCUGACUCUGUUGAUGAUUUGACAAGCAGCAAGUAUGCAAUUGGUUUUGCAUCAACAGAUUUCAUAAUAUGGAACUUAAUAACUGAGACAAAGGUUGUGCAAGUCCCAUGUGGUGGAUGGCGGCGUCCCCAUUCUUAUUAUCUUGGUGAUGUACCAGAGAUGAGAAACUGCUUUGCAUAUGUUAAGGAUGAAAUAAUUUAUAUUCAUAGAUUCUGGAUUCCAGAGAGUGAAAGGAAAAUAUUUCCUCAGAAUCUGCAUAUUCAAUUUCAUGGGAGAGAGAUGCAUUCCUUAUGUUUUGUGUCUAGGGAUUCACAAGUUGGGUUAAAUGGAAAGCAUGACCUCUCUUCUAGAUCUAGCUGGAUUGCUACUGGGUGUGAAGAUGGCACUGUGAGGUUGACAAGGUAUUCGCCCGGUGUUGAGAAUUGGUUUUCAUCACAAUUGCUUGGAGAGCAUGUUGGUGGAUCAGCUGUGAGGUCAAUAUGCCCUGUAUCAAAGAUACACACAAUUCCAGCAGAUGCGACAAACAUGCCAAAUGUGACACACAGACAACAUGCUACCUGGGACGGCAGAGAGGAUCCAUUCUUGCUAAUUUCUGUUGGUGCAAAACGGGUCAUAACUUCUUGGGUACUAAGAACUAGUACAAUAGACAACAAGGGAGAAGCGUCAGAUGAUGGAGUGCAGGAUAAAACUGGGAAGGGCUUUCCAUCAAUGUCAUUCCAGUGGCUUUCCACUGACAUGCCAACCAAGUAUUCUGGUAUUCGUAAGAAAACAGAAGACUUGGAGAACAUAGUUGGAAUUAAAAAAGCUUCGAGUGUGAAUAUUGAUGCAGAGUCUAGAUCACUCUUCCCAGAAAGAAAAGAGAUGCAAUUGAGAACUUGCAUUGGGGACAUGUAUGAAAAUGACUGGAGAUACCUUGCUGUUACUGCUUUUCUUGUUAAAGAUCCUGUUUCCAGAAUUACUGUCUGUUUCAUUGUUGUUGGUUGUUCUGACGCCACACUUUCUCUGCGGGCUCUCAUUUUACCCAGUCGACUUUGGUUUGAUGUUGCUUUAUUGGUUCCCCAGUCAUCCCCAGUUUUGGCAUUGCAACAUGCUAUCAUCCCUUUAUUUCAGCCUUCUGAAGAGAAGAUUCAGAUUGGAAAUGCAUAUAUUGCAAUCAGUGGAUCUACUGAUGGCAGUAUUGCCUUCUGGGAUCUGACUGAAAGUGUUGAAAACUUCAUGCUGCGGGCAUCAACUCUCCAUACAGAAAACUCUAUUGAUUGUCAGAAACGACCACGCACUGGAAGAGGAAGCCAAGGUGGACGAUGGUGGAGAUCAUUAGGCACCACUCCUAAGAAAAAACCCAGCGGCGGCUCAGUUUCCAUGAGAGUUGAAGAAGGAACUGGUGUUCUAAAUUAUGUUGCAUGUGGAACCUCUUCAAAACUUAAUGAUCCUGAAAACACUCCAACUGCUUGUUCUCAAGCGAUGUUCACUGCUUCCCUUGAGUCAGAAGUGAAUAUAGAUGAUUCCUCAUCAGAAAUAUGUGAAAUAUCACCCUUACAUGUUUUGAGUAGCAUUCACCAAUCCGGGGUCAACUGUCUCCACAUUUCAGAUAUGAAUCAUUGUCAAAGUUUUAACAAUGGUUUUCUGUAUUAUCUUUUAAGUGGGGGCGAUGAUCAAGCACUUCAUUGUCUUGGAUUUGAUUUGACACUGCUACCAACAAGCUCAGAGUCUCAGAUUAAGGCAGUAAAUGUAGAAAAUCCAACAACCAAAUUUGAAGAUAUAAAGAACUUAAAUCAUUGUAAACAGAACAAGAAUUACAGAAUCAGAUUUUUAUACCAUGACAGGGUAGCCUCAGCUCACAAUUCUGCUGUGAAAGGUAUUUGGACAGAUGGGACGUGGGUGUUUUCUACUGGUCUUGAUCAGCGUGUCAGAUGCUGGUAUCUUGGUGAGCAUGGUAAAUUAAUUGAACAAGCUCAUUUAGUAAUUAGUGUGCCUGAGCCAGAGGCAUUGGACGCUAGAGCCUGUGGCAGGAACCAUUAUCAGAUUGCAGUAGCUGGAAGAGGGAUGCAAAUGGUUGAGUUCUCUGUAUCCCCUGACAUGGAUGGCAGAGGCGCAGAUGGCUUCUGCUGAUUUUGUGUUUCAAUCCAUAAGCUUUUGAGGAUGGGUAUGUGGUGAAACCCAUCAUUUGAGGGGUUUAAACUUUGAAAGAUCUGAUUUAAAGAAUCGACUGCUCAGAGUGCGCUACCCUUUUAACUUGUCACCAAGAUCUGAAAAGACUGCCGUUUAGAUCUGGGAAAGAUGCUUCACUUAAGGAGUAUAAAGAUGUCAUAUGACUCAUUUCUGCAUCAACUGACCUUGCGGGUGCUCCUAUCUCAACUUGCCCACAAUUUUUUAUUCAUCACUGAUGACCACACCAAUUUUCUUCUGAGAAGGGCUUUCAAAAGAUUGAAGGUUAUGUAUUUUAGUAGCCAUUGCUGAGUUCUGAUCUGACUAGUGAAGCUGUCCCAUGCAGCUCGAUCCAGAUGAUAUAUAUUUUCUCUUUUUUCUUUUUGUAUAACAAGUUAGAUUUUGUUCAAUUUGGACGCCCAUUGAUUUUAGUACUUCUAAUCAUGAUGAAUACCAUACAUUACAUGGCAU